UGGGGAAUAUUGGACAAUGGGGGCAACCCUGAUCCAGCGAUGCCGCGUGAGUGAAGAAGGCCUUCGGGUCGUAAAGCUCUUUAGGUUGGGAAGAAGAGUGCGAGGUGAAUAGCCUUGUACUUUGACGGUACCGACAGAAUAAGCACCGGCAAACUCUGUGCCAGCAGCCGCGGUAAUACAGAGGGUGCGAGCGUUAAUCGGAUUUACUGGGCGUAAAGGGCGCGUAGGCGGUUAAAUGAGUGUGAUGUGAAAGCCCCGGGCUUAACCUGGGAAGGGCAUCGCAAACGGUUUGACUGGAGUAUAUGAGAGGGUGGCGGAAUUUCCGGUGUAGCGGUGAAAUGCGUAGAGAUCGGAAGGAACGUCGAUGGCGAAGGCAGCCACCUGGCAUAAUACUGACGCUGAGGCGCGAAAGCGUGGGGAGCGAACAGGAUUAGAUACCCUGGUAGUCCACGCUGUAAACGAUGAGAACUAGAUGUUGAUUGGGGAACCAAGCAGUAUCGAAGCUAACGCGAUAAGUUCUCCGCCUGGGAAGUACGGCCGCAAGGUUGA
rnacentral:rRNA from 1 species